rnacentral:rRNA from 1 species
UACGUAGGGGGCAAGCGUUGUCCGGAAUCAUUGGGCGUAAAGAGCGUGUAGGCGGCUCGGUAAGUCCGCUGUAAAAGUCCAGGGCUCAACCCUGGAAAGCCGGUGGAAACUGUCGAGCUAGAGUCCGGAAGAGGCGAGUGGAAUUCCUGGUGUAGCGGUGAAAUGCGCAGAUAUCAGGAGGAACACCAGUGGCGAAGGCGGCUCACUGGCCCGGAACUGACGCUGAGACGCGAAAGCGUGGGGAGCAAACAGG